rnacentral:misc_RNA from 1 species
UCUCCGUAGGUGAACCAGCGGAGGGAUCAUUACAGAGUUGCAACCCGCACGAACCAUUGUGAACGCUACCUAUCCCGUAGCUUCGUCGCUUUGCCCGGCCGCCGCGCCCCGCCCCCGCUACCCCCCCGGGGGCGCCCGCCGGAGGUAGACCAAACCCAUGAAUUGCAUUUCCUCUCUGAGUCUUCUGUACUGAAUAAUUCAAAACUUUAAACAACGGAUCUUUUGUUUCUGGCCUCGGUGAAGAACGCAACAGCUGGGAAGCACACACGUCUACACUCC